UGCUAAGAAUAGCAGGCUCUCUUCAGGGGA
rnacentral:piRNA from 1 species